rnacentral:siRNA from 1 species
AGGAAUUACAAUGAGAACUCCUA